AGACAGACUGCCAGUACCGAGCAGAAAUAUACUGCUCGAAAAAUGAAAUUAAAAAAAUGAAAGAAACAAUUUUUUUAUCAGGAUUCAGCUUGAAUUCAAAAGGAAUUUCUGAUAUUAAAAUGGUCAGUGAGGACUUGGAGCGAGGAAGGCUGGGGCGGCGAGGCCGAGGAGCGGACUGAACAAAUGGACGAGCGACCCAGCAAUGUGGGCUUCCAACAUUGAUACCAUUAGGAAGGCCCAGCUGAGGUUGUACUUCCUGCACCAGCUGAGGAAGUUCUACUCCACCACCAUCCAGCCUACUCUCUAUUCUUCCUGUUUGAUUUGCAUCGGCCACUAAACAAGACCUGAACCGACUACAACGGAUCAUCAGGUCUGAAGAGGGAAUCAUUGGCUUCAGCCUGCCCUCCAUCCUGGAUCUGUACACCUUGUUGUUCAUAAACAUACUUUUUUUUUAUUUUUUAAGAGAAGCAGCUUUGAAGAUGCCUGACUAGACAAAAAUACUUUUAGGAAUGAUUUAACUCUUUGUGCCACAUCUUUAGGAAUAAAUCACCAUUGGCUGUA